AUGAUACGCGAGGAACCUUACCCGGGCUCAAACGGGGAGUGGCGCAGGCAGAGACGCNUGUUUCCCACGGGACACUCCCCGAGGUGCUGCAUGGUUGUCGUCAGCUCGUGCCGUGAGGUGUCGGCUUAAGUGCCAUAACGAGCGCAACCCCCGCGUGCAGUUGCUAACAGUCAACGCUGAGGACUCUGCACGGACUGCCGGCGCAAGCCGCGAGGAAGGCGGGGAUGACGUCAAAUCAGCACGGCCCUUACGUCCGGGGCGACACACGUGUUACAAUGGGUGGUACAGCGGGAAGCCAGGCGGCGACGCCGAGCGGAACCCGAAAUCCACUCUCAGUUCGGAUCGGAGUCUGCAACCCGACUCCGUGAAGCUGGAUUCGCUAGUAAUCGCGCAUCAGCCAUGGCGCGGUGAAUACGUUCCCGGGCCUUGUACACACCGCCCGUCAAGCCAUGGGAGCCGAGGGCGCUUGAAGUGCGUCGCCGCGAGGCGCGCCCUAGAGCGAAAUCGGUGACUGGGGCUAAGUCGUAACAAGGUAGCCGU
rnacentral:rRNA from 1 species